rnacentral:rRNA from 1 species
AGGACAAACGAGAAUACCCCUGUCUCCUUUAAGAGAAUAAAAAUUUAUCUUUAAGUGAAGAAGCUUAAAUACACAUGCAGGACAAGAAGACCCUAUAGAGCUUUACCUAAAGAGUACAAAUAAAGUAAUCUGCGGUUCGGUUGGGGCGACCAGGGGACAUCAAUCACCCCCAAAAAUCUAAGAUUUACCAAUCAUCAUAAAGAUCCUUACAUAAGAUCCAAGAAUCAAGCUACCUUAGGGAUAACAGGCUAAUCCCCUUAGAGAGCCCUUAUCGACAAGGGGGGUUGGCACCUCGAUGUUGGCUUAGGAUUUCUCCGUUGUCGCAGCCGACACGGUUAGAUGGUUUGUUCAACCAUUAAA